CCGUUGGAAACGACGGCUAAUCCCCAAUAAGCCGAAAGGUGAAACGGGAUUCCGCCUGGAGAGGAGCUCGCGUCCGAUUAGUUAGUUGGUGGGGUAAAAGCCUACCAAGGCAGCGAUCGGUAGCUGGUCUGAGAGGAUGAGCAGCCACACUGGGACUGAGACACGGCCCAGACUCCUACGGGAGGCAGCAGUGGGGAAUUUUCCGCAAUGGGCGAAAGCCUGACGGAGCAACGCCGCGUGUGGGAAGAAGGCUCUUGGGCUGUCAACCACUUUUCUCAGGGAAGAAGAACUGACGGUACCUGAGGAAUCAGCCUCGGCUAACUCCGUGCCAGCAGCCGCGGUAAUACGGAGGAGGCAAGCGUUAUCCGGAAUUAUUGGGCGUAAAGCGUCCGCAGGGGGCGCAUCAAGUCUGCUGUUAAAGGUCGGAGCUCAACUCCGGUAGAGCAGUGGAAACUGGUGCGCUAGAGGGCGACAGGGGUAGAGGGAAUUCCCAGUGUAGCGGUGAAAUGCGUAGAGAUUGGGAAGAACACCGGUGGCGAAAGCGCUCUACUGGGUCGCACCUGACCCUCAGGGACGAAAGCUAAGGUAGCGAA
rnacentral:rRNA from 1 species